UCCAUUUUUUAUUUUUUUAAAUGGUUAUUUAAUGUAGCUAUGCUAUUUAAUUCGUAAAAAAAAACUACGCUAUCUGUCAGUGAGAAUAAGAUAAAUUAAGAAUUAAUGUAAAAACCAACAAGAGUUGGCUCAGGUGGUAAACAACUUGAUGUCGUUUAAGGGGGUUCUCGAGUUCGAACCUCACCGUAUGUCGAAUGUCUUGUCGGAAGACUCACCCAGUCACCCACCAUCGCCAGGUGUGUGAUUUGGGUCGGAUCUGGAUGUAGUUAUUGAUGGGAAACACUUGUUGGGAGACUCACCCACCAUAAACUAGGUGGGCAUCCUAAAAAAAAAAAAAGAAACAAUGUAAAAAGGUGAAUGUGUAAGAAAAAGGUAAAUAAAGUAACACAUAGUGUGGAGAAGUGUAGUUUUGUGGGGUAAACUGAUAAACGGGGUAGGCCUAUAAAAAGUAAUGCAUAGUCAGCAGAACAAAAAAGAACAAGUUUAAGUUUACUGUGUAGAACAAAGAAAAUGGAGGAGUAUUAUUUUAGGGCUUUAGGCUAUUAUUAGCUUCUUUUUUUAAUUUUUUUUAUAGCUUUUAUUUGUAUUUUUUGUCAUUAGGACAUGUUGAAAUAUUAAAUUAAAGUGGUCAAUGUUUGUUAACUAAAUAGGGUUAAAAAAGAAUCCUUUUUAUGUGGAUUCCACUCCCUCCGAUUCCAACCUUACCUAGACUGCAGUGCAACACUUGUUGGCUGAACUCUGUCCGGGAUUAAAGUUGGUAUGAAAAAACUUUGAUUUUUAAAGAUAGACAUCUUACUGCCCCACCCAAUCUGAGUCACUGUCCAAAUAUGUGCUACUUGUUGUCAUCAAUAUUUAAGUUUUGCACUUGUCAUUGACUCAUAUUAAUGUUUUGCACUUCCUUCUCUCUACAAGAGUUCAAACUCUUCAUAUUGCAUAGAAUUUUACGUGAUAAGCUGUGGUUGAGUCACUGACUAUAUUCUUAAUAGAAAAGUAGAUGUAGGCCAUGUUAGCUGUGAUGGGAGGUAUUGGGAUAAUUGUGAUCAUUGUAGUGAUUAGGUGCGAGAAGGAGAUAAUGGGCCCAAGAGAAAGGUAAUAAAUAAUCAAUAAUUGGUAAAACCUUAUUAAAAAAAAGAAAGUGUUCAACUAUGUUGGGUUGGAUGAAAAUUGAAAUUUUAAAUUUCAAGGGAGUUUGUUUUUAAUCAGGGAGGAAGAAUUUCUCAUGUAUGCAACAUUAAUCUCCUACUAAAUCUCCAUCUGUCAAUUCUUACCAAAUGUCAAAUAGGGAUAUGAAGAGUGUGAUUUGUGGCUUUGUGCUUUAAAAUGAGAGACUGAGAGUUCAUUUAAGUGUCCUCUUAUUGGAUUUUGGGAUAUCAUUUGUGACAGAUGAAUCCAUCAUUUUAUCAUCAUCAUCAUCAUGAAUCCAUACUGACCUAGGCUACUUGUUGGAGCUAUUGUGUCUUGGAUAAAAGUUGAUGUGAUCAUAUUGUUAUGUGCUUGACCCAUGUUUUAUAGUGUUUCUUAUGAAGUUGAAUGGAUAGAGAAAGGAAGUUGCCUCGUCAUCAGAGCCUUAACCAAGUUUAAAAUCUGCUCAGACGUGUAUUUACUCAUCACAACACUAGGCUUCCACUUGUCAGCAAUAUAUGCCUUUUUUUUUCUUGCACACAAAAUUAUACUCUUGUAAAUAGAGUCUAAUCUUCAUCUUUGAAAAUGGUAUUUACUUCUAAUCUUCAUCUUUGUAAAUGGUAUAUACUUCACUCUGGAAUCUGGAUACUUUCCUAGAAUAUCAUCUUUCUCUUUCCUUGCAAGAUUUUACUUUGUUCUCAGAAUUGGCUUGUUAGAAAAUUAUUAGAUGGAAAAAGAAUUAAGUCACUUGAAUUCUAUUUCUCCAUGAAGAAGAGAAUUAACGAUGAUGGAGUUGAAAUUUUACUUCGUGCUUAUUAACAUGCUUAAAGACUGCCCUUUUGGGUAAGUGCUGAUAAAUGAUGGUAAUGGUAAUGAAUUUGUAUAUAAAUUUGUAAGAGAAAUCAAUUUUUGUUCCGUGGUAAUGAUAGCUCACCCCAUACUAUCUAUUUUUCUUCACAAAUUUCCAUUACCAUCUAUUACCAUUUCGGGGGUGGUGUUGGUUGGUAAUGGGCAUUUAUGAAGAAAAUCACUGAUUUAGGGAUGAGAUUGCAUUGUUAUGGACAUUAUGAUAUUGAUUGACUUGCCAAAUUACACUUAAAUCCAUUCCCAUUGCCAGGAAGUAUUCUCAUUUCAUCGUGACUCUGAGCUAUUUCUGAAUUUCUUUGCCUGAGUCCUGCCUUGGUUUGACUUGUACGAUCAAGAUAACUGAUUGAGUCAGCAGUUAAAGUACAAUUUUUGUGAAAUUUGGAUUAUGCUAGCCCGAAAAUGUUUGAAAUUUGUUGUGUUGGAUGCUGGGUCACUACACUAAGCAAGUAAGCAGCAAUAUCAUUCAGAUCAAAUUAUUAUUCUUAAUGUCAUUGUGACUGCUUGUCUUUGUGUUGAUGACACCGACCUCUAACUUCAUAGAUUAUGCUUUGAAGUAGUUUUGAUAUUGCUUGUUUUCUUAAGAGACUUAAUUUCCCUUUUGAUGUUCUUUCUAACUUUAGAUUCAUAUGAAGGUUUCGUGCUUUUAUUAGUUUCAAUGAUGCCAUGCACUCAAUCUAAAUUUCCUAAAAGUAUGAUAGCAAUGUAUUUUUGGCUUUAUUUCUUCCAAAUUUCUUGGCCUGAAAUACAUGAGAUUUUGAGCUGCUUAUGAUAAGUGCAAACAGAGGAGUGUCAAAAGCAUAUCAAAGUAGCAGAUAUAUUCCAGAUUUUCAGGUGAGUGUUCUUUAUCCUUCAUCGUAGCAUCAGCUUGCUUAUCAACGUGGUUGUAAUAUUUGUUUCUUGGAUUGGCAUUUGUUUGCCUGUAUGAGCAGUAGGUUUCUAGUGUUGAAGUAGUGACUCCGUUUGUUUGUUACUUUUUUUCCUUGCACUUUCUUAUUUUCUUUUUGGCUUUGUUAACAUGGCAAUUGGGCGUACAGCAAAUGUAGUAUUCCCUCAAUUUGUUAUUUUGACCUGGUAGAGGUUAUGCUGCCACAAAAUAUAUGUAAGCAGUGUAAUAGUUGCAGCUUGCAGGAAUUGUAAAUUUGACAUUCAACCUUAACUAGAUUUACUUUCAUUUUUCCUGCAUAAUUAAAAGACCAUCUGUUUGGUCUGAUUCUGGUGACUAGCUGGAUAUGCUUAACUGUUUUCCUUUUUCAUUAUAAAUUACUCCGAGAUAGAUCAUCGUAGUCUUUUAUGUAACAUAAAUCCUUAUAUCUGAGCUCCAUCUGAAUCUGUGUGUGAGUAAAGCCUGAUUCCUCUAAAGAGACUUGAUAUGGUGAUGUAAAAAGGAAAGACACUUUAGUUAUAUGAUUGCUGUGAAUAUGGCAAACAGAAGUUUGUACUUUUGAGGCUAAUAAUGGGAGGUGGCGGUAAUUAUAUUCUUUAAAAUGCAGAAGGCCUCUAGGGGGGGGGGGGGAUAUUGGUUUUGUUAGCUUCAGUCACUCCUUCGUAGUUUCAGUUGCGCUGUGAUGUAUACCUCUAUAAUUUAUUAAAUGCUAUUAGUUUCAAUUACGUUGUGUACCUUGUAACUAUCAUUGUGAAAUGUAAUGCUUAUGUAAUUAUCAGAAUCUCUGGUUUCUACAUCUUUUUUGCAGUUGUCUGAAUAUAACAAAUUUCUUGUAGUCUGCAUAUGACUUUGAAAUUUCUAAUUUUAUAGGGUAAUAGUCAAAAUGUUAAUCUCAUGUAGACAUGUAGUCAUGCGUUUAUCAUGCCAUUGUUUGAUCUUCUUUUGGUAGCUGAUAGGAGUAUUAUGAGCUCGUAUGCAGGUUCUCUGUUUAAUUGAACUGGUCACUGCUUAAUGCUGUACUGCUAAUAGUUCUUAAACUUUUGCUGCUGUGAGAUGAUAAAUACUUAAAGUUUUACAUAAAAAGAUAUUUCAUCUAGUAUGCAUAAAUAUGUUAUUCAUUAUCGUUUCUCGUAUGGAAUACUACUGUUCAUAGGAAUUUUGUGCAUUUAGGUAAUAAUGAUGAUCUGCCUUAUGCGAGGAACUCAACAUUUUAACUUACUAUACUCACAAUCUAAUCUAGUAGUUUUUGUGUCAGAAGGUCCGAUUAAAUGCUUUUGUUCAGACAACUUAAUUUUUGAUUUUUUUUUUCCUUUUAGUUUUGUGUAUUUUCAUGAAUCAUGACUAUUUAACCAUUAUUAAUUAAUUUCAUGUUCGUCAUAGUGUAAGUUCUACCUUUUUUUUUGGUCAACUGUAUUGGUUUUACUAUGGUCAAGUCAGACCAUCUUUCCUAAUUUUUUUUUUAAAAUAUAAUAUUUUAAGUAGAAAUGUAUGUUGAGGAGAAUUAUUAAUGCAUCUUCUUUUAGGGUCUUUUUAAUGGUUGAUGUACACACCUGUCAAUAUUAAGAAUGUUUCUUUAAUUACAGAUUAGUUUUUAAUGGCUUCGGUUUUGUUUGUUGGCUACCUGCAGUUAAAGUCUUUUGCUUGUUGAAGUGUUGUUUGCUCUGGGUAGGGUAAAAUUUAUAUGCCUGUGAAUAGUCUUACAGUGCUAUCAUGUUUGUUCAUCUAGAAAAACUUUCCUUGUUAGUUUUCCUUACCAUUUGUCAUCUUGUUUAUCUCUCAGUAUCUGUUAGCCACAAUUAAAUGCUUGUUUUGGUAAACAACUCUGUGUAAGGUUAUUUUUCCCUCUUGAUUAUGGUCAAUGUGGAUCUAUUACUUCUAUAUAUGUCUGGUAAUUUAUGAUGUUUUGGUUGCUUCCCUAGGUUGCUAUUUGAGCCAGAGGUGAAGAGCUGUAAUUGCAGUUUUUGGUUUCCUGUUGAUUACGUUUCCCUGCUUAUCAUCUUUUGAUGGUUUCAUUGAUUGUUGAUAAGCUGUAAAAUUUGGUUUAUAUCCAGUGUGUACACUGUAAUUUUUUGUUCAGAAUUCUGGUGCCUGCUGUGCCUGUUAGUUGUCACUUUUGUUUUUUUGAUUAGAUUUGGCGGACUUGAAUUAAAGUUUUGGUCCUUGUUUGAUCUUGCUUUUGUGAGCUUUAUGUGCCCAGGAGCUCUUGUGCUUCUGAUCUCCAUAUCAGCAUAUUGUGUAAGUGAAGUUGUCUCUCAUCCGUGAUCAAGGUUAAGGCACUUUUUUUAAAUAACUAUUAUUAUAUUAUGUUAUUUAUUUUUACUGUAAAUAUCAUCUUAAUGGCCUUUUGGAGUUUUGAACUUGCAAAUUAUAAUAUCUUUCUUAAUCAUUGUAGGUCCUGGCACAUGCUUGAUGCUUACUGUAGCAUAUCUUUUGUUUUCAUCUAAUAAUGCUGCAGGCCACCAUAGCCUUCCGGCUCUCAUGACCAGUCCCAAGCUGGAGUUCUAGUGGUCAUGUGACUCAAAACUUGUAGGGUAUGCCAAGAGAACCUGUUUGUCAACAUCAAGGAUACCACAAAAGCUGGAUGUGUCUGGGCUCCACAAGUGCAUCAAUCUGCUUAUAUGAAGGUGAUAUUGUGACCAGAUGUCAAUCUUAACUCACUGAUCCAUGUCAUGAUAUGGUCUAGUGGUCAACCACCAUGAAUGUUUGGACAUGAGAGGCUUUUUGGCUAAAUGCAUCAGCUAAUCAGCUGUGGAAGUACUACUGCAUGUGGAAGGGGCCAAAAUGUGGAUUUUAAAUGGAAAUCAUUGCCAAAAGUGAAGUAUCGCCUGUGCGUUGAUUGAAGCCGUGCAAUCAGUUAAGACUUGCAUCAAGAAUUUAUUCCUGAAAUUGCCUACACUUUUUUUUAGCACACAUGACCAAUUAUUUCGUAUAUACAUUUAAUUUUCUGUUUCUUAUCAAAAUUUGUUAAUAUGCUUUGCGAAUGUGAAAAGAGUGCCAUUACACCUCAUAUUUUCUAGGGGAUAAGUGUACAAGGUUUUGGUGUACGUGCGAAAUUACUAGACCAUAACAGAAAAGCAUUAAUAGAUGCAGCUUAGGAGGGGUCACCAUCAUUUGGGAGAAAAGAACAGGUGAGGAAAUGAGAGCAACUCAUAGAAUGUUGAGCUGUGCUGAGGCGGUCAUUCGAUGUCCCUAUUAUAGGAAGGAAUUUAAGAACUGUUGUCUAAUCUCGGGCUGCAUCAAUGCAUGUCAAUAUCGGAUUAUUAAUGGAAAUGCUCACUUUGCUCUAAAUUGGGUGUUAUUGUAUGACAAUGAAAGUGUAAGGUGGCCAAAUUGAACCUGAAAUUUCAUGCACCUAAGCUUAGUAAUGAAUUGGAGUCUCCCUUAGUCGAAGGCAGGACAAAAUGGAGUAGUAGUUAUGUUGUUGCAUCAGGGUUCCACCUCUUUUAUUUGUGGUUGGAGGCGUAAAUGUGCUAGAUUUUCUUCUAUAAUUUUGUUUAUAAGUUACCAAUAAUUAUCACUACUUGUUAAAAUGGUGAUGGAAUGCGUGCCCAACAACGAUGUGAUA